rnacentral:rRNA from 1 species
UUGGCCUACGGGAGGCAGCAGUGGGGAAUAUUGCACAAUGGGGGGAACCCUGAUGCAGCGACGCCGCGUGGGUGAAGGAGCACCUCGGUGCGUAAAGCCCUAUCGGCAGGGAAGAAAAGCGAACAGGUUCGCCUGGACGGCACCUGACUAAGAAGCCCCGGCUAACUACGUGCCAGCAGCCGCGGUAAUACGUAGGGGGCAAGCGUUAUCCGGAUUCACUGGGGGUAAAGGGAGCGUAGACGGCGGCGCAAGGCUGGGGUGAAAGCCCGGGGCCCAACCCCGGGCCUGC